rnacentral:tRNA from 1 species
GAGGUUGUAGCUUAGUGGUAGAGCAUUUACCUAGCAUGUGUGAGGCACUGGGUUCGGUUCUCAGCACCACA